GGGUUGUGAGGUUAAGCGACUAAGCGUACACGGUGGAUGCCCUGGCAGUCAGAGGCGAUGAAGGGCGUGCUAAUCUGCGAUAAGCGCCGGUAAGGUGAUAUGAACCGUUAUAACCGGCGAUACCCGAAUGGGGAAACCCAGUGUGAUUCGUCACACUAUCAUUAACUGAAUCCAUAGGUUAAUGAGGCGAACCGGGGGAACUGAAACAUCUAAGUACCCCGAGGAAAAGAAAUCAACCGAGAUUCCCCCAGUAGCGGCGAGCGAACGGGGAGGAGCCCAGAGCCUGAAUCAGCAUGUGUGUUAGUGGAAGCGUCUGGAAAGGCGCGCGAUACAGGGUGACAGCCCCGUACACAAAAGCGCAUGUGCUGUGAGCUCGAUGAGUAGGGCGGGACACGUGGUAUCCUGUCUGAAUAUGGGGGGACCAUCCUCCAAGGCUAAAUACUCCUGACUGACCGAUAGUGAACCAGUACCGUGAGGGAAAGGCGAAAAGAACCCCGGCGAGGGGAGUGAAAAAGAACCUGAAACCGUGUACGUACAAGCAGUGGGAGCACAGGUUUACCUGUGUGACUGCGUACCUUUUGUAUAAUGGGUCAGCGACUUAUAUUCUGUAGCAAGGUUAACCGAAUAGGGGAGCCGGAGGGAAACCGAGUCUUAAUUGGGCGUUAAGUUGCAGGGUAUAGACCCGAAACCCGGUGAUCUAGCCAUGGGCAGGUUGAAGGUUGGGUAACACUAACUGGAGGACCGAACCGACUAAUGUUGAAAAAUUAGCGGAUGACCUGUGGCUGGGGGUGAAAGGCCAAUCAAACCGGGAGAUAGCUGGUUCUCCCCGAAAGCUAUUUAGGUAGCGCCUCGUGAAUUCAUCUCCGGGGGUAGAGCACUGUUUCGGCUAGGGGGCCAUCCCGGCUUACCAACCCGAUGCAAACUGCGAAUACCGGAGAAUGUUAUCACGGGAGACACACGGCGGGUGCUAACGUCCGUCGUGAAGAGGGAAACAACCCAGACCGCCAGCUAAGGUCCCAAAGUCAUGGUUAAGUGGGAAACGAUGUGGGAAGGCCCAGACAGCCAGGAUGUUGGCUUAGAAGCAGCCAUCAUUUAAAGAAAGCGUAAUAGCUCCACUCGGUCGAGUCGGCCUGCGCGGAAGAUGUAACGGGGCCUAAACCAUGCACCGAAGGAGGUAUCAGAAGUGCGAAUGCUGACAUAAGUAACGAUAAAGCGGGUGAAAAGCCCGCUCGCCGGAAGACCAAGGGUUCCUGUCCAACGUUAAUCGGGGCAGGGUGAGUCGACCCCUAAGGCGAGGCCGAAAGGCGUAGUCGAUGGGAAACGGGUUAAUAUUCCCGUACUUGGUGUUACUGCGAAGGGGGGACGGAGAAGGCUAUGUUGGCCGGGCGACGGUUGUCCCGGUUUAAGCGUGUAGGUGUGUGUUCCAGGUAAAUCCGGUUCACUUUAACACUGAGGCGUGACGACGAGGCACUACGGUGCUGAAGCAACAAAUGCCCUGCUUCCAGGAAAAGCCUCUAAGCAUCAGGUAACAUCAAAUCGUACCCCAAACCGACACAGGUGGUCAGGUAGAGAAUACCAAGGCGCUUGAGAGAACUCGGGUGAAGGAACUAGGCAAAAUGGUGCCGUAACUUCGGGAGAAGGCACGCUGACACGUAGGUGAAGUGAUUUACUCAUGGAGCUGAAGUCAGUCGAAGAUACCAGCUGGCUGCAACUGUUUAUUAAAAACACAGCACUGUGCAAACACGAAAGUGGACGUAUACGGUGUGACGCCUGCCCGGUGCCGGAAGGUUAAUUGAUGGGGUCAGCGCAAGCGAAGCUCCUGAUCGAAGCCCCGGUAAACGGCGGCCGUAACUAUAACGGUCCUAAGGUAGCGAAAUUCCUUGUCGGGUAAGUUCCGACCUGCACGAAUGGCGUAAUGAUGGCCAGGCUGUCUCCACCCGAGACUCAGUGAAAUUGAACUCGCUGUGAAGAUGCAGUGUACCCGCGGCAAGACGGAAAGACCCCGUGAACCUUUACUAUAGCUUGACACUGAACAUUGAGCCUUGAUGUGUAGGAUAGGUGGGAGGCUUUGAAGUGUGGACGCCAGUCUGCAUGGAGCCGACCUUGAAAUACCACCCUUUAAUGUUUGAUGUUCUAACGUGGACCCGUUACCCGGGUUGCGGACAGUGUCUGGUGGGUAGUUUGACUGGGGCGGUCUCCUCCUAAAGAGUAACGGAGGAGCACGAAGGUUGGCUAAUCCUGGUCGGACAUCAGGAGGUUAGUGCAAUGGCAUAAGCCAGCUUGACUGCGAGCGUGACGGCGCGAGCAGGUGCGAAAGCAGGUCAUAGUGAUCCGGUGGUUCUGAAUGGAAGGGCCAUCGCUCAACGGAUAAAAGGUACUCCGGGGAUAACAGGCUGAUACCGCCCAAGAGUUCAUAUCGACGGCGGUGUUUGGCACCUCGAUGUCGGCUCAUCACAUGGGGCUGAAGUAGGUCCCAAGGGUAUGGCUGUUCGCCAUUUAAAGUGGUACGCGAGCUGGGUUUAGAACGUCGUGAGACAGUUCGGUCCCUAUCUGCCGUGGGCGCUGGAGAACUGAGGGGGGCUGCUCCUAGUACGAGAGGACCGGAGUGGACGCAUCACUGGUGUUCGGGUUGUCAUGCCAAUGGCACUGCCCGGUAGCUAAAUGCGGAAGAGAUAAGUGCUGAAAGCAUCUAAGCACGAAACUUGCCCCGAGAUGAGUUCUCCCUGAGACUUAAAGUCUCCUGAAGGAACGUUGAAGACGACGACGUUGAUAGGCCGGGUGUGUAAGCGCAGCGAUGCGUUGAGCUAACCGGUACUAAUGAACCGUGAGGCUUAACCUUACAACGCCGAAG
rnacentral:rRNA from 1 species